UACGUAGGGUGCAAGCGUUGUCCGGAAUUAUUGGGCGUAAAGAGCUCGUAGGCGGUUUGUUGCGUCGGCUGUGAAAUCCCGAGGCUCAACCUCGGGUCUGCAGUCGAUACGAGCAAACUAGAGUGUUGCAGGGGAGACUGGAAUUCCUGGUGUAGCGGUGAAAUGCGCAGAUAUCAGGAGGAACACCGGUGGCGAAGGCGGGUCUCUGGGCAACAACUGAUGCUGAGGAGCGAAAGCGUGGGGAGCGAACAGG
rnacentral:rRNA from 1 species